GGGGUCAUGGCUCAGUGGUGGAGCGCUUGCCUAGCAUGCAUAAGGCACUGGGUUUGAUCCCCGGCACCCCA
rnacentral:tRNA from 1 species